rnacentral:rRNA from 1 species
AAGUGGUGGAGCAUGUGGUUUAAUUCGAAGAUACACGAAGAACCUUACCUGGCCUUGACAUGGUAGGAACCCUUAAGAGAUUAGGGGGUGCUAGCUUGCUAGAACCUACACACAGGUGCUGCACGGCUGUCGUCAGCUCGUGUCGUGAGAUGUUGGGUUAAGUCCCGCAACGAGCGCAACCCUCGUCCUUAGUUGCUAACAGUUCGGCUGAGCACUCUAGGGAGACUGCCUUCGCAAGGAGGAGGAAGGUGAGGACGACGUCAAGUCAUCAUGGCCCUUACGGCCAGGGCUACACACGUGCUACAAUGGGGCGUACAGAGAGCUGCGAUACCGCGAGGUGGAGCCAAUCUCUUAAAGCGUCUCUCAGUUCGGAUUGUUCUCUGCAACUCGAGAACAUGAAGCUGGAAUCACUAGUAAUCGCAGAUCAGCUAUGCUGCGGUGAAUACGUUCCCGGGUCUU